rnacentral:rRNA from 1 species
GCGUAUAUGUAAAUUGUUGCGGUUGNAAAGCUCGUAGUUGGACUUCUGUCGGCCGCGUUCSGUCCGCCUUGAGUGAGUACUGUUCGCGGUCGGCGUUACUGUCGACGGUGCKCGUCGGACUUCACUGGCCGGUGCGCUCUCUGUCGGCGAUGUUACUUUGAGGAAAUCANAGUGCUCAAAGCAAGCGUUCGCUCGUGACUUCACUAGCAUGGAAUAACACAGAUGGGCUCUUUUUCGCAACGUUGGUCUGCGUCAACUGARCAACGAUCGAUARAGACGGUCGGGGGCAUUCKUAUUGCGCARUUAGAGGUGAAAUUCUCCGAUCUGCGCAAGACGCACUAAUGCKAAAGCAGUUGCCAAGGACGUCCUCUUAUGAUCAANAKCGAAAGUCGGGGGAUCAAAGAUGAUUAAAUACCGUCGUAGUCCCGACCAUAAAUGAUGCCAACUGASCGUCGGCGACUCGGCUGUUAGCCGGACGUCGGCGCUCUUGASAGAAAUUAAAGUCUUUGGGCUCCGGGGGUAGUAUGGUCGCAAGUCUGAAACUUGAAGGAAUUGACGGAAGGGCACCACAAGGCGUGGAUGUUGCGGCUUAAUUUGACUCAACACGGGAAAGCUUACUAGGUUUGGACACUUGAAUGAGGGACAUAUUGAAGCUCUUACCUUUUUUUGUGGAUGGUGGUGCAUGGUCGUUCUCAGCCCGUGGGUUGACCUGUCAGGUUUACUCCGGUAACGCGCGAGACCUCGGUUUGCUAWAUAGACGCGGCUGUCUCGGCACCCGCGCUCUUCUUAGAGAGAGACUCGACGCGAGUCGAGGKAAGUCGAGGCAAUAACAGAUCUGUGAUGCCCUUAGUUAUCCUAGGUCGCACGCGCCAUACAAUGUGGCGCACAACGAGUCUCCUUGGCCGACAGGAGCUCUCGGCGACGGCCGUCGCUUCGGUCC